rnacentral:lncRNA from 1 species
AGUCGCUUAGCGAAGGCUGUCCCGCGGCGGGCGCAGGCGCGGGUGGCGGGGUGUGCUUGGGCGGGAAGUGGGUGGUGAGGGCCGCUCUGGGCUCAGCGUUCCCCACCUGGAAUGCGUCCUGGCUUCGGCUGGCCCGGCCCAACCCUCAGCGGCCGCGGUGCCCAGGCCCACUCCUUCCGCGCCUGGAAACGUGAGACGGGUCACUGAGGACGACGUAGGCAAACUUUGCAGAGCACGUUGCCACCUGUUGGAGUAGCCGCUCCAGCCCCAGUCGAAAUGCACGGCCGAACAAUGGCAGUUCUGAGUGGCUCAGGGGCCCACACUUUCUUUAAAACCGAUGCACUCGUAGUAAUAUUUCUUAUGCCCCACAUCCAGAGGCCUGUGCUCACCACCUCAGCAGUGCCCGGGGAGGUUCGCCAGGCGUGGGCAGGCUCUCCCUUGAAAGCACCUGACCUGGUUCUACCUUGCACUGGGGCUGAAUGUUUCACAAGAAAAGGGAACAGGACUGGACCGCUGGCUGUUCCUUCUUUGAUCCCAGGCAUGAUUUCAGCUUGUAGAAUAAAUGAGAAAUGCCUGUUGGUUUAAUUAAAAGAACCGCAUUGGCUGUGCUAGCCUGCCUGCCUUCUGGUGCCCAAGCAAGUGUACUGAUAAAGGAAUCAAAAGCUGCACACUCAA